AUACGGAAGGCAGCAGUCGAGAGGCUUCGGCAAUGGGGGAAACCCUGACCGAGCGACGCCGCGUGAGGGAUGACGGCCCUUGGGUUGUAAACCUCUUUUGUUCGGGAAGAAGUGCGAUCAGGUGAAUAAUCUGGUCGUUUGACGGUACCGGACGAAUAAGCUCCGGCUAACUCCGUGCCAGCAGCCGCGGUAACACGGGGGGAGCAAGCGUUGUUCGGAAUCACUGGGCGUAAAGGGCGUCUAGGCGGUCAGGUAAGUAAGACGUGAAAUGCCUCGGCUCACCCGAGGAGCGGCGUCUUAUACUGCUUGGCUUGAGUAUGGGAGAGGAUGUGGGAAUUCCUGGUGUAGCGGUGAAAUGCGUAGAUAUCAGGAGGAACACCGGUGGCGAAGGCGCACAUCUGGCCCAAUACUGACGCUGAAGCGCGAAAGCUAGGGGAGCAAACGGGAUUAGAUACCCGGGUAGUCCC
rnacentral:rRNA from 1 species